rnacentral:rRNA from 1 species
GAUGAACGCUGGCGGUAUGCCUAACACAUGCAAGUCGAACGGGCUUUUCGGAGCUAGUGGCGGACGGGUGAGUAACGCGUGAGAAUCUGCCUUCAGGAUGGGGAUAACAGGGAGAAAUCGCUGCUAAAACCCAAUGUGCCGAAAGGUGAAAUACUUGUAGCCAGAAGAGGAGCUCGCGUCCGAUUAGUUAGUUGGUGGGGUAAGAGCCUACCAAGGCAGCGAUCGGUAGCUGGGCUGAGAGGAUGAGCAGCCACACUGGGACUGAGACACGGCCCAGACUCCUACGGGAGGCAGCAGGGGGGAAUUUUCCGCAAUGGGCGAAAGCCUGACGGAGCAAUACCGCGUGAGGGAGGAAGGCUUUUGGGUUGUAAACCUCGUUUGUUAAGGAAGAAGAAAGUGACGGUACUUAAAGAAUAAGCAUCGGCUAACUCCGUGCCAGCCGCCGCGGUAA